rnacentral:rRNA from 1 species
GAUGAACGCUGGCGGCGUGCUUAACACAUGCAAGUCGAACGAUGACUUUUGUGCUUGCACAAAAUGAUUAGUGGCGAACGGGUGAGUAACACGUGAGUAACCUGCCCCUGACUCUGGGAUAAGCCUGGGAAACCGGGUCUAAUACCGGAUACGACCGCCGGCCGCAUGGCCUGGCGGUGGAAAGCUUGAUUGCGGUUUUGGAUGGACUCGCGGCCUAUCAGCUUGUUGGUGGGGUGAUGGCCUACCAAGGCGACGACGGGUAGCCGGCCUGAGAGGGCGACCGGCCACACUGGGACUGAGACACGGCCCAGACUCCUACGGGAGGCAGCAGUGGGGAAUAUUGCGCAAUGGGCGGAAGCCUGACGCAGCGACGCCGCGUGGGGGAUGACGGCCUUCGGGUU